AAUGUAGUGCUGAGCACUAACUAGUUGGUUUUAAUGCAUAUAAUAACUACUUUGUAACUUGACGAGUUGAACAUUUAAUGUGUAAAAUAAUCUGAUCUAUAAUGCAAUAUAAUACAGGUACUUGACUAUUUUUUUGUAGUUUUUUUUUAAUUCCUAAAAUCCAAAUGUUCCGUAUAACUUCCGAGUGCCGACUAUAAUAUUAGUGUCUAUACAGCCGUGAUUAUAACUUAUUAUUAAAUAAUUAUGAAUUUUGAGUACCACCUUUAAUUUUUUUUAAAACAUUUUUCUUGUCACAUUAUUUCUUUAUAAUAUAUUCUUAUAUUAGUUGCAUAUUUUAUUGCAAUACACGUUUACCACAGCGCCUGUGGUCUAUAGCUUAUUGCUUGGUACAUAUAAUCAUUGACAAUAGACAACUCACCAUUUUGGCUGACAAGAGAAGCUGCGUUAAUAAUGUAGACUGGACUCUUCUGAUACCAUUCAUACUUAGAAGUCGGAAAACACUUAGGAGUCAAGAAUAUUAUGAACAGUGCACCAAACAUCAUGGCAAACCAA